rnacentral:rRNA from 1 species
CAGUCGAGCGGGGUUUUCGGACCUAGCGGCGGACGGGUGAGUAAUGCGUAGGAAGCUACCCGAUAGAGGGGGAUACCAGUUGGAAACGACUGUUAAUACCGCAUAAUGUCUACGGACCAAAGUGUGGGACCUUCGGGCCACAUGCUAUCGGAUGCGCCUACGUGGGAUUAGCUAGUUGGUGAGGUAAUGGCUCACCAAGGCGACGAUCCCUAGCUGGUUUGAGAGGAUGAUCAGCCACACUGGAACUGAGACACGGUCCAGACUCCUACGGGAGGCAGCAGUGGGGAAUAUUGGACAAUGGGCGCAAGCCUGAUCCAGCCAUGCCGCGUGUGUGAAGAAGGCCUUCGGGUUGUAAAGCACUUUCAGUAGGGAGGAAGCGUUGUGUGUUAAUAGUACACAGCGUUGACGUUACCUACAGAAGAAGCACCGGCUAACUCUGUGCCAGCAGCCGCGGUAAUACAGAGGGUGCAAGCGUUAAUCGGAAUUACUGGGCGUAAAGCGCACGUAGGCGGUUUUUUAAGUCAGAUGUGAAAGCCCCGGGCUCAACCUGGGAAUUGCAUUUGAAACUGGAAAACUAGAGUGUGUGAGAGGGGGGUAGAAU